rnacentral:rRNA from 1 species
UACGAAGGGGGCUAGCGUUGUUCGGAAUCACUGGGCGUAAAGGGCGCGUAGGCGGCUUUAUAAGUACGGGGGUGGAAAGCCUAUGGCUCAACCACAGAAUUGCCUUCGAUACUGUAGAGGCUUGAGACCGGAAGAGGUUAGUGGAACUGCGAGUGUAGAGGUGAAAUUCGUAGAUAUUCGCAAGAACACCAGUGGCGAAGGCGGCUGACUGGUCCGGUUCUGACGCUGAGGCGCGAAAGCGUGGGGAGCAACAGG